rnacentral:rRNA from 1 species
CGAUUCUUAGCCGCCCUGGAAGGGUGAUCGGCCCCACUGGAACUGAGACCCGGUCCAGAUUCCUACGGGAGGCAGCAGUAGGGAUUUUCCGCAAUGGGCGAAAGCCUGACGGAGCAACGCCGCGUGAGUGAUGAAGGUCUUCGGAUCGUAAAACUCUGUUAUUAGGGAAGAACAUAUGUGUAAGUAACUGUGCACAUCUUGACGGUACCUAAUCAGAAAGCCACGGCUAACUACGUGCCAGCAGCCGCGGUAAUACGUAGGUGGCAAGCGUUAUCCGGAAUUAUUGGGCGUAAAGCGCGCGUAGGCGGUUUUUUAAGUCUGAUGUGAAAGCCCACGGCUCAACCGUGGAGGGUCAUUGGAAACUGGAAAACUUGAGUGCAGAAGAGGAAAGUGGAAUUCCAUGUGUAGCGGUGAAAUGCGCAGAGAUAUGGAGGAACACCAGUGGCGAAGGCGACUUUCUGGUCUGUAACUGACGCUGAUGUGCGAAAGCGUGGGGAUCAAACAGGAUUAGAUACCCUGGUAGUCCACGCCGUAAACGAUGAGUGCUAAGUGUUAGGGGGUUUCCGCCCCUUAGUGCUGCAGCUAACGCAUUAAGCACAAUCUUGGAUUAAGUUGGGCACUCUAAGUUGACUGCCGGUUAUGAUUUGGGCUACACACGUGCUAC